GGCCUCGUAGCUCAGUUAGCAGAGUAUUGGACUAAUAUCCCAAAGUCGCGGGUUUGAUUCCCACCGUGGUCA